CGUAGGUGGCAAGCGUUGUCCGGAAUUAUUGGGCGUAAAGCGCGCGCAGGCGGUCCUUUAAGUCUGAUGUGAAAGCCCACGGCUCAACCGUGGAGGGUCAUUGGAAACUGGGGGACUUGAGUGCAGAAGAGGAAAGCGGAAUUCCACGUGUAGCGGUGAAAUGCGUAGAGAUGUGGAGGAACACCAGUGGCGAAGGCGGCUUUCUGGUCUGUAACUGACGCUGAGGCGCGAAAGCGUGGGGAGCAAACAGGAUUAGAUACCCUGGUAGUCCACGCCGUAAACGAUGAGUGCUAAGUGUUAGAGGGUUUCCGCCCCUUAGUGCUGCAGCUAACGCAUUAAGCACUCCGCCUGGGGAGUACGGCCGCAAGGCUG
rnacentral:rRNA from 1 species